UACCGGGCUGGGGAUCCAGAACCCGGAAUAUUCUGGGAUCCAGAACCCGGAAUAUUCUGGGAUCCAGAACCCGGAAUAUUCUGGGAUCCAGAACCUGGAAUAUCGAACCGGAUUUUAAACGGUCAGCAGCCCCGCGGUUACCAUGGUAACCAGGUAAAAUGGUCAGUUGUACCAAAGCAGACCUGGGAUUGAAUAAUUACCAUGGUAACCAUCAGACAGGUGAUCAGGUAGAUUCUGACCAGUUACCUGCAGGUCAUAUGUUAUUGAUACCCUGGUUAUCGAUCCCUCAUCAGCUCCAGGUUGCUAAUGCUAACGCUAUUAACCCGGACACGAGGGAACUUACAGAACCGAGCCGGACCGAAGCGGAAGCACACCCGACCGCUUCCCACCGUGUGAUCAGCUGAUCGAUGGGGAUCAAUGACUCCGAUCGGAGUGAACCUUUGAUGCUGAAGCUCGAGCUCCUGCUAACGGACCACAACUCCCGCUUGACGUCCAGCAGCUCGUAUUUGGCGGCUUCCGGUGAGGUCAGAGGUCGGCUACAUGGAGGGCGUGUGUACGCGCGGAGCUGCGGCUUAGGGACGAGAACCGAACCUUAAGCGUCCGAACCGGAACCGGACUGAGCGCCCUGAACACCGCGAUCUCCGAGCUCAACCAGAAGGCGGCGCAGAUGCUCACCGAGCUCGUUGACAGCGAGAGUGCGCGCGCAGCCAGUGCACGAGGUGAUGAAGAGAGUGAUGAGGAAGAGGAAGUUUUGAACUCUGACCUUCUGCCUGAAGCUAAAAGAUCCAAAACCAGCUGAACUCCUGCUGUGAAACGACAUGUUUUGUUUUAUUAAUGUCAUAUUAAAGUUGCCAUGGUAACCAG